GGGCGGUUUCUCCAUUUGUCUGUUUUGCUGAUGUACAUUCAACUCAUUCUCAGCAAAAUAAGCAGAUGGAAAAUUUGUCCAUC
ensembl:miRNA